rnacentral:rRNA from 1 species
AAUAGAUACCCAGGUAGUCCACGCCGUAAACGAUGAGUGCUAAGUGUUAGAGGGUUUCCGCCCUUUAGUGCUGCAGCAAACGCAUUAAGCACUCCGCCUGGGGAGUACGGUCGCAAGACUGAAACUCAAAGGAAUUGACGGGGGCCCGCACAAGCGGUGGAGCAUGUGGUUUAAUUCGAAGCAACGCGAAGAACCUUACCAGGUCUUGACAUCCUUAUGCCAUCCCUAGAGAUAGGGCUUUCCCUUCGGGGACAUAAGUGACAGGUGGUGCAUGGUUGUCGUCAGCUCGUGUCGUGAGAUGUUGGGUUAAGUCCCGCAACGAGCGCAACCCUUGAUCUUAGUUGCCAGCAUUAAGUUGGGCACUCUAAGGUGACUGCCGGUGACAAACCGGAGGAAGGUGGGGAUGACGUCAAAUCAUCAUGCCCCUUAUGACCUGGGCUACACACGUGCUACAAUGGAUGGUACAAAGGGCAGCGAAACCGCGAGGUUAAGCCAAUCCCAUAAAACCAUUCUCAGUUCGGAUUGCAGG